rnacentral:rRNA from 1 species
AUCGCAGAUCAGCAUGCUGCGGUGAAUACGUUCCCGGGCCUUGUACACACCGCCCGUCACACCAUGGGAGUCGGUAACACCCGAAGUCGGUAGCCUAACCGUAAGGAGGGCGCCGCCGAAGGUGGGAUUGAUGACUGGGGUGAAGUCGUAACAAGGUAAC